CACGAAGUUAGCCGGGGCUUCUUCUCACGCUACCGUCAUCAUCGUCGCGUGCGAAAGAGCUUUACAACCCGAAGGCCUUCAUCACUCACGCGGCAUUGUUGGAUCAGGCUUGCGCCCAUUGUCCAAUAUUCCCCACUGCUGCCUCCCGUAGGAGUCUGGGCCGUGUCUCAGUCCCAGUGUGGCUGAUCAUCCUCUCAGACCAGCUAAGGAUCGUUGCCUUGGUAGGCCGUUACCCCACCAACAAGCUAAUCCUACGCGGGCCCAUCCCAUGGCGAUAAAUCUUUGUCCCUCAAGACACAUACGGUAUUAGCUCCAGUUUCCCGGAGUUAUUCCGUACCACAGGGCAGGUUCCCACGCGUUACUCACCCGUGCGCCACUAGGGCCGAAGCCCUCGUUCGACUUGCAUGUGUUAGGCAUGCCGCCAGCGUUCGUUCUGAGCCAGGAUCAAACUCU
rnacentral:rRNA from 1 species